UACGGAGGGUGCAAACGUUGCUCGGAUUUACUGGGCGUAAAGGGCGCGUAGGCGGACAGUUUAGUCAGAGGUGAAAGCCCAGGGCUCAACCUUGGAAUUGCCUUUGAUACUGGCUGUCUUGAGUACGGGAGAGGUGAGUGGAACUCCGAGUGUAGAGGUGAAAUUCGUAGAUAUUCGCAAGAACACCAGUGGCGAAGGCGGCUCACUGGCCCGAUACUGACGCUGACGGCACGAAAGCGUGGGAGCAACAGGG
rnacentral:rRNA from 1 species